AUCGUCAAUGCGACGUCCUCCUACUCCCACCUCAGAGCUGUCACAGAGACUGUCAGUUCCGUCCCUCCCCUUCAGCCCUUUAACGCACGUCUUCCCGACCGCAUAACUUGCUCAGUCCCUGCGGCCAACUGGGGCGGGCCAAUGGCUGUGACGGAUAAGGGGUGUGGGGUGCGGGGACAAUGGGCCAGAGCUUCUCAUGCAGCCUGCACCAGCGCCGGGUCGGAGAGUCAGAGGCCACCCUGAGAUGGACCGAGAUCUUCAGUUGGGGAGGCGCCUCCGGUGAGCUUGCGGCCAGAUGCCCCCUCAGUAGUCCUCCGCAACAGGUGCCGCGCAGCCGAGUGGCGGGCUAGCAUACCGCCUGCCCGCAAUUCGGCCAGGCCUCGAGCCUGCUCCGCCUUCCCGCUGCGGUAGCGCCGCCGGGGAAACGCCGCCACGGGCUGCAUGGGCAGCGCUCGCGCCCCGCCGCUGAGCCGCCGGGGAGCCGUCCAGUCUUCGAAUCCCAGCUUGGUGGCAUGCAUGUUUAGUCCCAGCUACACAGCAGGGAGGCUGAGGCUGAAGGAAUACUUGAGCCCAGGAAUUCAAGACUAGCCUGCACAACAUAGUGAGACCCUGACUUUAAAAUAAAUUUAAAAAAAUUAAAAGCAACAAGACUUUCUGCUUGUAUAUGAUGAUGUUAGUAUGCUGACUUACAAGCCACAGCAUGUUCCGAAGAGAUGAUUGGAAGAUGGAAGUGGAGGGUUAAAUAAUGAAAUGCAGCUAACAUUUCGGAAAGUUUCUAAAAGUUGUACAACAUGCCCUACAGCUACUCUUUAAAUCUCCAAAUCAAAUGAGUUUCAGGUGGAGCCUCUGGGAGGUGAUGAGGUCAUGAGAGUGGAGCCUCAUGAAUGGGAUGAGCACUCCUACAAAAAGGAUUCCAGAGAGCUCGCUUGCUCCUUCCACAGUGUGAGGACACAGAGGGAAGGCUCUGUCUAUGAAUGAGAAAGUGGGUCCCCACCAGACAUUGAAUCUGCCGCAUCUUGAUACUGGACUUCCAGUCUCCAGAACUGUGGGCAAUAAAUGUCUGUUGUUUAUUACCUGUCCAGUAUCUUUGGUAUUUUGCUAUAGCAACCCAAAUGGACUAAGAAAACACCAGAGGCCAUACCUAAUAAAAAUAUUGACAUCACA
rnacentral:lncRNA from 1 species